AUUGAACGCUGGCGGCAGGCCUAACACAUGCACGUCGAACGAGUGGCGGACGGGUGAGUAAUGUCUGGGCAACUGACAGAUGGAGGGGGAUAACUACUGGAAACGGUAGAUAAUACCGCAUACCAUCGGAUGUGCCCAGAUGGGAUUAGCUAGUAGGUGGGGUAACGGCACACCUAGGCGACGAUCCCUAGCUGGUCUGAGAGGAUGACAGGCCACACUGGAACUGAGAAACGGCCAAGACACCUACGGGAGGCAGCAGUGUGGGAUAUGACACAAUUGGCGCAAGCCUGAUGCAGGCAUGCCGCGUGUAUGAAGAAGGCCUUGGGGUUGUAAAGUACUUUCAGCGGGGAGGCGUUAUCCGAAGUAGAAGCACCGGCUAAAUCCGUGUCAGCAGCCGCGGUAAUUC
rnacentral:rRNA from 1 species